rnacentral:tRNA from 1 species
GACGCGGUCAGCUAAACAAGCUAUCGGGUCCAUACCCCGAGUAUGAUGGUUAAACCCCAUCCCAUGUCA